rnacentral:rRNA from 1 species
UACGUAGGCAGCAAGCGUUGUUCGGAGUUACUGGGCGUAAAGAGUGCGUAGGCGGUCCUGUAAGUUUGGUGUGAAAUCUCCCGGCUCAACUGGGAGGGUGCGCCGAAGACUGCAGGGCUUGAGUAUGGGAGAGGUAAGCGGAAUUCCUGGUGUAGCGGUGAAAUGCGUAGAUAUCAGGAGGAACACCGGUGGCGAAGGCGGAUCUCUGGGCCAUUACUGACGCUGAGGAGCGAAAGCGUGGGGAGCAAACAGG